AAGAGAAGUAUAAGUGAUUCCUUCACAUUAAAACCAAAAAAAAA
rnacentral:sRNA from 1 species